CGCGGGGUAGAGCAGUUGGUAGCUCGUCGGGCUCAUAACCCGGAGGUCGUGGGUUCAAGUCCCUCCCCCGCAA
rnacentral:tRNA from 1 species